AGACAGAGUUUCUCUGUAUUUUCCUGGCCAUCCUAGAAUUUGCUCUGUAUAUUCCAAAAAGCAUUCUCACAGACACACUCAGACGGGGCUGAGUGGACAAUCAGCCAUGUCUCCCAUCCUCACCCUUCCAGAAUAGCAAUUCUAUUUUAACAUUUGAGUUCUACAAGGGAUGUCCUUUCCCAGAAGAUGAGGUGACCAUGUUAAUGUCAGGCAAUGAGUAUAAGGGCAGGCUAUUUCCCAGGGAUUUUAGAAGGCUCCCAUAUGGAAUACUGACCUGGCUGGCUUUCGUUCUUCAUCAUUGGCUUCUGUCUGUGGGCUGUCUAUUCUGAUUACCAUUCGCUGUAACCAAGCUGGAAAAGCACAGAGAAAUCCCUAUGUCCCCUGGGCUGCCAUCAAGGAACGCUUUAUAACACAACUAGAAAAUCCCACCCCAGCCUUUGUCUUGGAGAUUUCUGCUACACAAACCUAGCAUGGGCUUUCUGGUGGAUGGCACUCAUAGCCCAUCACAGCCUCUGUGGAUAAUGAUGGAGGGGAACAGACCUCCAGGAAGUCUCCAUCCCUCAGCUAUGUCCACUGGUCCUGGCUGACCUAGCACCUGCAUCGAGAGGCUUUUUGAAAUCGAGGGGUCUCCCUGGCACUGGGAGCAGGAGCCCACUACACACCCUCUCCAUAGAGAACUCAGAAUGAAGGCUUCUUUAAUGGGAAGGUAAAUGGCAGUCUCAAGCUUCCUAUAUUUAGCCUUUCCUGAGAGUAGCUAUUUCAGGCUAUGUGUGAAUGGAAGCAGGCAGCCUGGAUUGGGAGUGUGGAAAGAAGCAGUAAAAAUGUGACCUAAAAAAGACAGAUCCCAGCAGAGCAAUCCCAGACCACGUGUUUCAGAUGAGUCCUCAUUGAUUAGUGGAAAGCCCAGCCUGCCUUGCAGACAGAAAAGGAAAGGAAUGCUUGGGUUUGGCUGGUGCGUGACUGGCAGGGGCCAUCUCCAGCUUCCUUCCGCCUGGAACAGCUUUCUCCAGAGAAUGGUGCGUAUGGAGGGCUCACUCUGGGACAGCACAGUGCUAAGUCGUGUAAGUGUUUGUGGGCCUCAUUCAACCCAAAGCGAUGAUUCCUAAUUUCCAACCAUGGUUGAGGGGACUAGCAAAUCAGUCCACCCCAAUCACAUCUCUCGCGUUCUCUCUCUCCACCUGUGAAGGCCGCACAGCCUCCACAGAAAGCAACGGCCCUGCUCCAAAGACACUGCCAAGCUCAUUUACUCAAAGGUCAGAUUUUGCACUGCAGACAUUCCAACAGUAUGUAGUCCUCAGCAGGGUUUCGCUUGCUUCCACUGAAGGCUCAUAUGUGACAAGCCAGCCCCCAGAGCUUUGUGGACAUCAUUUAACGAACCUCAUGCCCGCCUUGCAGGUUCUGGUAAGCCCCAUUCUGCAGAACCACAGAGAGUGUAAACUAACCAUUGUCACUCAGUCAGUGGCAGAGUCAGGACUGCCAUUUCUGGUCUGUUUCCUGAUUUUUUUUAAAUGGGUUUUAUUUCACAGUCUGUGGAGUAAGAAGAAUGAGGAGGGGGCAGGAACCAAGCCCAGGAACAAAUACCGGGGGGUUUGUCCUUAUUUAAAUGCCUGAAGGGAGGGGGUGUGCAGAAUUGAAAAAGAAAAAAGACUUUGCCUUCCUUGCUGUUUCUUCGUGUCUUACUCCACCCCCAACCCCCUCCCCUGUCCUUGCCUGGGGCAUCUGCUUCAUUUCCACCCAGGGACAGGAACAAUGAGGGAAAUGGCCUAGGAAACAUCCAGGCAGGCUUCUGUUUCUAUCCAAGAUGUGCUUAGAGCCCGCAAUCCUCCAAGGUCAUAUGGCUGCAGCUGGCAGAGCAGCUGGUCCAUACCAUGCCAGCCAGAUUAACCCUUAAAAAGUGAAAGCAAGGAGCUGAGCAGAAGGUUCAGUCAGCAAAGUGCAAAGACCCGAGUUCAGAUCCUCAGACACCCCCACAAAAACCCAGGUGUGCACGGUGGAACACAGAAACACACCUGGAAUCUGAUUUCAUAGCCCUCUAUGUCAUAGUGUGUGUGGCUUAAGUGUCUCUCUGGAAAAAAAAAAAAUCCCUCCCAUUUGGAACUCAUCUGUUUAAACUUGAAAACAUUAACUUACAUUCAUUCUGUUUUAAAAAAGAGAUCGUGAGGCAGAAGGGAGAGUUUACUUGUUAAUAUGGGUGCCGUGCAAACAUGAGACCCUGAAUCUGAACCCAGAACCCGUGGUUUUUGUUUUGUUUUUUAAAAAGCUGGGCCGAGUAAUACGGAGGUGGAGACAGGCUGAUCCUUGGGGCUCCUUAGCCAGCUAGGGAAACUGACAAUCCCCAGGUUCCAGUAAUAGGCAUUGUCUCAGAAAACAAGGUGGUUGGCUCCUGAGACAACACCUACACUUGGCCUCUGGCCUCCAUAGCACCCCCACACACACAUGCACAUACACAUACACAAAAUAAAAACCCAAACCUCUUUCCAGCCAGAGUGUCAUUACUGAGCUUUAUUGUAACUGGUUCCAUGGGUUGAGUCCAUCACUGCAGCUAGGACCUUGUAUGAGGUGAUCUUCGUAACCAUAGAAUAUGUCAGACAUAACCAAGUACAGAACCGGAAUAGCACGUGCCUGGUGUGGGAGCAUGUGCCAGCGUCUCACACGCCAAUGAUCACUCUCUGCAGGUAUUUGAUUGACACAAGGUCUUUGUGGGCUACUGAAUCCCAGGAUGUGGCUUGUAGGAGUUCCACAUGCUCCCUUGGCUAUGGUAUUUCCAGUCGGCUUAUGUAGAAGCAACACUUUACAAACUUGGGGCAGGGAGGAAUAUCACAGCGCAAUUUUAAAAUAUUUAAUACAUUGUUUUUUGUUCUACAAAGAAUGAGCAGUUCUCAAAUAUUACAAAUAGUGAAACAGAUAUACUAGCUUGUGGAUAUAUAGAGAUAGAUAUAUACAAUUUACUACUUUAUACUUCAAAAGUGCAGGAAGAUAAAUUACAUAAUAUAUAUAAUUUUAGAUCUAGUGGACAAUUGGAUAUUGCUCUUUGUUGGACUAGAUGCAUUGGAUGCAUGCCCAUGGCUUGUCACUGAAUGGAGAGGGAACUAGUGGGGGUUAGGGAACUCAUGGAGUCCCGUGCUUAACCCCAGAGUGCCAUCUUCAAAGCAAUAUUUCAAGUUUUAUCAUGAGCUGGGGCUGGGUCAGAAGUUUCCAGUCCCGUGUGCAACAUGGGAUGUUACCAAGAAUCUCAGCUUUAUAACUUGGAAUGGGACCAAAGCAAAGCUGAAAGCCGUUGGCCCAGUGGUACUGCAUCCUCAGCUCCUGAGGCAGAGGGGAGUUUGCAAAAGGUGAUGUUGGGAUAGCCACCCAAUGCUCAGCUCAAUCUCUAGAAAGCAGUGUUGGAAUGAAGCCCAUGAGGGAGGCCUUACCGACCUCCCACCCUCUAAACUCACAGGCGGAACAGAAAGGAACAAAGACUUAUAAUGGAUAACCACGAGAGUCUCAUGUCGAUGAAGCCUGAAAUACUUAGGAAUGUGGGAACUGACGGAAAGAGCAGAAAGAACCCUGACAGGUGGUCACUGGGAGUAGGGAAGCUUGUAGCAAUGUCCCAUAUAAACUGGUUACCAUCAGUGGGAGAGACGGGAUUUUCCUAACUGUGAAGGGAUCGCCACAAAUAUAUAUAUAUAUAUAUAUAUAUAUCAUGUCAACCAUGGAGCCAUGGUCUUUCCUUCACUAAUCCCACACCUCAAUGGCAAGGUGAUACACUUUCUCUGAGAACAGAAAUAGAAAGAAAUAGAACAACACAUUAAAAACAUUCCAGAACACUCCACAGCUCGAUCUUCCUGUGAUUGGCAAUGGCUUGUGGGAACAUAAAGAGCCAAUAGAAGAAGUUCAGAGGGGGCCUACAAUGGGCACAAGUGCUUUGAGCUCAUGGCUGAUUCCUGGGCUUCCUCAUUUCUCAGUGCAGCUGCUUGCCCAGGUCUGCAAGGAUUUUGUUCUAGAAGUCCACAGAAAUAGUAAGAUCACUGAGCCAUAUGGUUUUCUGAGGGACCUUCCCAACCCUCAGCAUAUCACCAAGGUGAGUUAUGAUUGACCGAGCAGAGUGGGCCAGGCCAAAGAGACUGCAUUAUAGAGGUCUGAAGGAAACAAAGGUGUCUGAACACAGUGUGCUCUGGAGGCAUAGACGGAACAAGAGGCCUACCACAACACACCGGCAUUGGGAGCUCCGCACAGUGGCCAUAGGCCACUGCAUAGGACCUCACAGUGCUGCAGCUUCCUCUGCCUGCUGACUGGGCAGCGGUCAGAUGGCUAAGAGAAUGGUCAAGCUAGCACCCAAGGCCAGCAUGGGUUUGUCCUAGCAGGUGAAACAGGAGCUCCUUCUCAUUGGCUGUGGGAGUAGGAAUUGUCAAGAAUCAAAAGCCAGCCAGACUCCAGGAUGGCAGGCAAACUGGACUAAGCUGAGAGCACUGUGCCCAGAAAAGAGAGAGCAGCCUAUCUGCAGCUGCCGUGGCCUCCGAUGCCUCAAGCAGUGGCUGAUUUGUUCUGAAGAACCCAGGGUACACGCACAGUCAUUGGGAAGAAUUCAUUCUAGGGUGCACACUGCACUGAAGAACUUAAGGACAUUUAGCAAGGGACGAGGAAAAAAAUUUACUGUUGACUAAAUGCAUUUUCUAGCAAUCUACUCCCAAAGUAGAUAAAUUGUUAAAAACACAGUGAAUGACGUCUGUUUCAAAGUAUUUCAUUAAGGUGCAGCGCAUAGCAUCUGCAUGCUCGUGUCAUUUAGAAAAAUGGGUGUGCUUCUGGUUAUUAGAUGCUCUUGGUUGGCUGUUUUGCAGCUGGGUACACAUGGAGUUAUUUAAGACAAGAAAACCAUCUUAGGGGAGGGGAAGGUGGGAGUCUAAAAAAUGCCUACUUUAUUUGCUUUUAUUUAAAAAUCUGAGGGCUGGGAGAAGUGGCAACCCUCGGAGGUCAAAAGAAAGUUCACGUUUCUAGGACCCUCAAAGUAUCACACACACACACACACACA